UGUUUAACAAAAACAUCUCUUGUUGAAAUUUAUUUUAAGUAUGGCCUGCCCAAUGAUUUAUUUAAUGGCCGCGGUAAUUUGACCGUGCAAAGGUAGCAUAAUCAUUAGUUUAUUAAUUGUGAACUUGUAUGAAUGGUUUAACGAAACAUUUUCUGUCUUAUUUGUAUUGAUUGAAAUUAAAUAUUAAGUUAAAAUGCUUAGAUUUUCUUAUUAGACGAGAAGACCCUAUAGAUCUUUAUUAUUUUUGGUUUAAUUUAUUUUAGUUUUUUUAUUUUUUAAAAAAGAAUUAUUUUUGUUGGGGUGAUGGUAGAAUAUGUAUAACUUCUAUUUUUUUUUUUACAUUUAUUUUUGGUUAGUUGAAUUUUUAUUUUGUUUGAAAGAUUUAGAUACCUUAGGGAUAACAGCGUAAUUUUUUUUGAGAGUUCUUAUUGACAGAGAAGAUUGCGACCUCGAUGUUGGAUUAAA
rnacentral:rRNA from 1 species